ensembl:lncRNA SLC8A1-AS1 SLC8A1 antisense RNA 1
GCUUGCUGGCUGAAAGGAAGGAGAAUCAAAUUUAGAAAUAUCUGAAAGGAAAUCCAGAUAUAGGCUAUUAAUAGAUGAGAGGUGAAGCUAGGCUAUAUCAGCUGCUGAGGUAAUUAUCCAGUUGAUAUUUAUCUUGUUCCAGUCACCUUUAGAAAGCUGUUUGGAAUCACUAGGUACUUCUAAAUCACUGGAGAGUCAAUCUGAAGUCAGAUGCAUACUCCCUGAAUAUUAGUCUUUCAGCUCUCAAAUCUCCAGGCAGCCUCUAUUGAUUGAUCUGAGUUGGCAGAUGAGUUGGCAGGCAAGGGCAGUGACUGGAAGCUGGGAGAGAGGGUCAACAGCUGAAUCUC